UGCGGGUCUUGAGUAAAUUUGAAGUGGCUGGAAUAAGUAGUGUAGCGGUGAAAUGCAUAGAUAUUACUUAGAACACCAAUUGCGAAGGCAGGUCACUAAGAUUUAACUGACGCUGAUGGACGAAAGCGUGGGUAGCGAACAGGAUUAGAUACCCUGGUAGUCCACGCCGUAAACGAUGCUAACUCGUUUUUGGAUUUUCGGAUUCAGAGACCAAGCGAAAGUGAUAAGUUAGCCACCUGGGGAGUACGUCCGCAAGGAUGAAACUCAAAGGAAUUGACGGGGGCCCGCACAAGCGGUGGAUUAUGUGGUUUAAUUCGAUGAUACGCGAGGAACCUUACCAAGACUUAAAUGGGAAAUGACAGGUUUAGAAAUAGACCCUUCUUCGGACAUUUUUCAAGGUGCUGCAUGGUUGUCGUCAGCUCGUGCCGUGAGGUGUUAGGUUAAGUCCUGCAACGAGCGCAACCUCUGUCACUAGUUGCUAACAUUCAGUUGAGGACUCUAGUGAGACUGCCUACGCAAGUAGAGAGGAAGGUGGGGAUGACGUCAAAUCAUCACGGCCCUUACGUCUUGGGCCACACACGUAAUACAAUGGCCGGUACAGAGGGCAGCUACACAGCGAUGUGAUGCAAAUCUCGAAAGCCGGUCUCAGUUCGGAUUGGAGUCUGCAACUCGACUCUAUGAAGCUGGAAUCGCUAGUAAUCGCGCAUCAGCCAUGGCGCGGUGAAUACGUUCCCGGGCCUUGUACACACCGCCCGU
rnacentral:rRNA from 1 species